GACGAACGCUGGCGGCGUGCUUAACACAUGCAAGUCGAACGAAGUGGCGAACGGGUGCGUAACGCGUAAUAAACCUGCCCUUCAGAGGGGGACAACAGUUGGAAACGACUACUAAUACCGCAUACUGAAGGCGGGGAUUGCGUCUGAUGCGCUAGUUGGAGGGGUAACGGCCCACCAAGGCGAUGAUCAGUAGCCGGUCUGAGAGGUGGAGCGGCCACAUUGGGACUGAGACACGGCACAGAUUCCUACGGGAGGCAGCAGUGGGGAAUCUUACGCAAUGGACGAAAGUCUGACGGAGCAACGCCGCGUGAGUGAUGACGGACUUCGGGUUGUAAAGCUCUGUUAAUCGGGACGCGGUACCGGAAUAGAAAGCCACGGCUAACUACGUGCCAGCAGCCGCGGUAAUAC
rnacentral:rRNA from 1 species